rfam:Daucus carota subsp. sativus cultivar DH1 chromosome 1, whole genome shotgun sequence.
AUUCUAUGAUGGGGACACUUCCUAAGCAUCUCCUUGUAGCGUUCUCAAGCUUCACAUAAAGAUUCACUCAAUUGCUGAGAAAAUUUAGUAAGAGCACUCCUGAUAGC